AGCAGCCGCGGUAAUUCCAGCUCCAAUAGCGUAUAUUAAAGUUGUUGCAGUUAAAAAGCUCGUAGUUGAAUUUUGGGAUCAGACUGUCGGUCGUGCCUCGGUACGCACUGGCAUUAUUGGUUCCUACCUUCUGAAGAACCGCGAUGUCAUUAAUUUGGUGUCGUGGGGAAUCAGGACUGUUACUUUGAAAAAAUUGAGUGUUUAAAGCAGGCGCACGCUUGAAUACAUUAGCAUGGAAUAAUGAAAUAGGACGUUUGAUUCUAUUUUGUUGGUUUCUAGGAUUGACGUAAUGAUUAAUAGGGAUAGUUGGGGGCAUUAGUAUUCAAUUGUCAGAGGUGAAAAUUCUUGGAUUUAUUGAAGACUAACUACUGCGAAAGCAUUUGCCAAGGAUGUUUUCAUUAAUCAAGAACGAAAGUUAGGGAUCGAAGACGAUCAGAUACCGUCGUAGUC
rnacentral:rRNA from 1 species